rnacentral:rRNA from 1 species
UACAUGGGGUGCAAACGUUGCUCGGAAUUAUUGGGCGUAAAGCGCACGUAGGCGGUUUGUUAAGUCGGAUGUGAAAUCCCUCGGCUCAACUGAGGAAGUGCAUCCGAAACUGGCAAGCUUGAGUACGAAAGAGGGUCGCGGAAUUCCCGGUGUAGAGGUGAAAUUCGUAGAUAUCGGGAGGGACACCGGUGGCGAAGGCGGCGACCUGGGUCGAUACUGACGCUGAGGUGCGAAAGCGUGGGGAGCAAACAGG